GCUGCUGACUUGUACACUUUAAAAUGGUUGUUAUACAAUACAGAGAAGAUUAGCAUGGCCCCUGUGCAAGGAUGACAUGAAGAUUUGUGAAGUGUUCCAUAUUUCA
ensembl:snRNA U6 U6 spliceosomal RNA